AGAGCGAACGCUGGCGGCAGGCCUAACACAUGCAAGUCGAGCGCCCCGCAAGGGGAGCGGCAGACGGGAGAGUAACACGUGGGAACGUACCCUUUGGUUCGGAACAACACAGGGAAACUUGUGCUAAUACCGGAUAAGCCCUUACGGGGAAAGAUUUAUCGCCAAAGGAUCGGCCCGCGUCUGAUUAGCUUGUUGGUGAGGUAACGGCUCACCAAGGCUACGAUCAGUAGCUGGUCUGAGAGGAUGAUCAGCCUCACUGGGACUGAGACACGGCCCAGACUCCUACGGGAGGCAGCAGUGGGGAAUAUUGGACAAUGGGCGCAAGCCUGAUCCAGCCAUGCCGCGUGGAUGAUGAAGGCCCUAGGGUUGUAAAGUCCUUUCGACGGGGAAGAUAAUGACGGUACCCGUAGAAGAAGCCCCGGCUAACGUUCGUGCCAGCAGCCGC
rnacentral:rRNA from 1 species